rnacentral:rRNA from 1 species
CGGCGAACGGGUGAGUAACACGUGAGUAACCUGCCCCUGACUCUGGGAUAAGCCUGGGAAACCGGGUCUAAUACCGGAUACGACCUCUUCCCGCAUGGGAUGGGGGUGGAAAGUUUUUCGGUUGGGGAUGGGCUCGCGGCCUAUCAGCUUGUUGGUGGGGUAGUGGCCUACCAAGGCGACGACGGGUAGCCGGCCUGAGAGGGCGACCGGCCACACUGGGACUGAGACACGGCCCAGACUCCUACGGGAGGCAGCAGUGGGGAAUAUUGCGCAAUGGGCGAAAGCCUGACGCAGCGACGCCGCGUGGGGGAUGACGGCCUUCGGGUUGUAAACCUCUUUCAGCAGGGACGAAGUUGACGUGUACCUGCAGAAGAAGCGCCGGCUAACUACGUGCCAGCAGCCGCGGUAAUACGUAGGGCGCAAGCGUUGUCCGGAAUUAUUGGGCGUAAAGAGCUCGUAGGUGGCUUGUCGCGUCGGGUGUGAAAGCUUGGGGCUUAACUCCAGGUCUGCAUUCGAUACGGGCUGGCUAGAGGUAGGUAGGGGAGAACGGAAUUCCUGGUGUAGCGGUGAAAUGCGCAGAUAUCAGGAGGAACACCGGUGGCGAAGGCGGUUCUCUGGGCCUUACCUGACGCUGAGGAGCGAAAGCGUGGGGAGCGAACAGGAUUAGAUACCCUGGUAGUCCACGCUGUAAACGUUGGGCGCUAGGUGUGGGGGCCUUCCACGGUUUCCGCGCCGUAGCUAACGCAUUA